rnacentral:rRNA from 1 species
CCUACGGGAGGCAGCAGUGGGGAAUUUUGGACAAUGGGGGGCAACCCUGAUCCAGCAAUGCCGCGUGAGUGAAGAAGGCCCUCGGGUUGUAAAGCUCUUUUGUCAGGGAAGAAACGGUCUACUCUAAUACAGUGGGCUAAUGACGGUACCUGAAGAAUAAGCACCGGCUAACUACGUGCCAGCAGCCGCGGUAAUACGUAGGGUGCAAGCGUUAAUCGGAAUUACUGGGCGUAAAGCGUGCGCAGGCGGUUUUAUAAGACAGAGGUGAAAUCCCCGGGCUCAACCUGGGAACUGCCUUUGUGACUGUAAGGCUAGAGUGUGUCAGAGGGGGGUAGAAUUCCACGUGUAGCAGUGAAAUGCGUAGAUAUGUGGAGGAAUACCGAUGGCGAAGGCAGCCCCCUGGGAUAACACUGACGCUCAUGCACGAAAGCGUGGGGAGCAAACAGGAUUAGAUACCCUGGUAGUCCACGCCCUAAACGAUGUCUACUAGUUGUCGGGACUUAAUUGUCUUGGUAACGCAGCUAACGCGUGAAGUAGACCGCCUGGGGAGUACGGUCGCAAGAUUAAAACUUAAAUGAAUUGACGG